UACGUAGGGUGCAAGCGUUAAUCGGAAUUACUGGGCGUAAAGCGUGCGCAGGCGGUUUUGUAAGUCUGUCGUGAAAUCCCCGGGCUCAACCUGGGAAUGGCGAUGGAGACUGCAAGGCUAGAGUUUGGCAGAGGGGGGGUAGAAUUCCACGUGUAGCAGUGAAAUGCGUAGAUAUGUGGAGGAACACCGAUGGCGAAGGCAGCCCCCUGGGUCAAAAACUGACGCUCAUGCACGAAAGCGUGGGGAGCAAACAGG
rnacentral:rRNA from 1 species